rfam:Ricinus communis cultivar Hale ctg_1100012355856, whole genome shotgun sequence.
AAUUCAUGAUGUGGGCAUUGCAAUAAAAGUGACUUGAAGCGAUCCCAUAUUUCAUGAAAGGAUUCAGUAUUCUUUUUAUAGAAGUUAGAAAUUUAAGUCUUUAACU